rnacentral:pre_miRNA from 1 species
CAUCUACUCCCUCCGUCCCAAAUUACUUGUCGCAGAAAUGGAUGUAUCUAGAACUAAAAUACAUCUAGAUACAUCCAUACUUGCGACAAGUAAUUUGGAACCGAGGGAGUAUUUU